UUGAACGCUGGCGGAAUGCUUUACACAUGCAAGUCGAACGGCAGCACGGGGGCAGCCCUGGUGGCGAGUGGCGAACGGGUGAGUAAUACAUCGGAACGUGCCCGGUCGUGGGGGAUAACGUAGCGAAAGUUACGCUAAUACCGCAUACGAUCUGAGGAUGAAAGCGGGGGACCUUCGAGCCUCGCGCGAUCGGAGCGGCCGAUGUCAGAUUAGGUAGUUGGUGGGGUAAAGGCCUACCAAGCCGACGAUCUGUAGCUGGUCUGAGAGGACGACCAGCCACACUGGGACUGAGACACGGCCCAGACUCCUACGGGAGGCAGCAGUGGGGAAUUUUGGACAAUGGGCGCAAGCCUGAUCCAGCCAUUCCGCGUGCAGGACGAAGGCCUUCGGGUUGUAAACUGCUUUUGUACGGAACGAAAAGGCUCUGGCUAAUACCUGGGGCUCAUGACGGUACCGUAAGAAUAAGCACCGGCUAACUACGUG
rnacentral:rRNA from 1 species